CCGUGAUUCCGGGAGUAGUGGCGAGCGAAACCGGAUGAGGCCAAACCGUAUGCGUGUGAGACCCGGCAGGGGUUGCGCAUGCGGGGUUGUGGGAUCUCUUGUUCACAGUCUGCCGGCUGUGAGGCGAGUCAGAAACCGUUGGUGUAGUCGAAGGACAUGCGAAAGGUCCGGCGUAGAGGGUAAGACCCCCGUAGACGAAACAUCAACGGCUCGCUUGAGAGACACCCAAGUAGCACGGGGCCCGAGAAAUCCCGUGUGAAUCUGGCGGGACCACCCGCUAAGCCUAAAUAUUCCCUGGUGACCGAUAGCGGAUAG
rnacentral:ncRNA from 2 species